CCCAGACUCCUACGGGAGGCAGCAGUGGGGGAUAUUGCACAAUGGGGGGAACCCUGAUGCAGCGACGCCGCGUGGGUGAAGAAGUAUUUCGGUAUGUAAAGCCCUAUCGGCAGGGAAGAAAUUGGACGGUACCUGACUAAGGAGCCCCGGCUAACUACGUGCCAGCAGCCGCGGUAAUACGUAGGGGGCAAGCGUUAUCCGGAUUCACUGGGUGUAAAGGGAGCGUAGACGGCCAUGCAAGCCUGGAGUGAAAGCCCGGGGCCCAACCCCGGGACUGCUCUGGGAACUGUGCGGCUGGAGUGCGGGAGGGGCAGGCGGAAUUCCUGGUGUAGCGGUGAAAUGCGUAGAUAUCAGGAGGAACACCGGCGGCGAAGGCGGCCUGCUGGACCGCGACUGACGUUGAGGCUCGAAAGCGUGGGGAGCAAACAGGAUUAGAUACCCUCGUAU
rnacentral:rRNA from 1 species